GUCUGGGAAACUGCCUGAUGGAGGGGGAUAACUACUGGAAACGGUAGCUAAUACCGCAUAACGUCGCAAGACCAAAGAGGGGGACCUUCGGGCCUCUUGCCAUCGGAUGUGCCCAGAUGGGAUUAGCUAGUAGGUGGGGUAAAGGCUCACCUAGGCGACGAUCCCUAGCUGGUCUGAGAGGAUGACCAGCCACACUGGAACUGAGACACGGUCCAGACUCCUACGGGAGGCAGCAGUGGGGAAUAUUGCACAAUGGGCGCAAGCCUGAUGCAGCCAUGCCGCGUGUAUGAAGAAGGCCUUCGGGUUGUAAAGUACUUUCAGCGGGGAGGAAGGGAGUAAAGUUAAUACCUUUGCUCAUUGACGUUACCCGCAGAAGAAGCACCGGCUAACUCCGUGCCAGCAGCCGCGGUAAUACGGAGGGUGCAAGCGUUAAUCGGAAUUACUGGGCGUAAAGCGGCACGCAGGCGGUUUGUUAAGUUCAGAUGUGGAAAUCCCCGGGCUCAACCUGGGAACUGCAUCUUGAUACUGGCAAGCUUGAGUCUCGUAGAGGGGGGUAGAAUUCCAGGUGUAGCGGUGAAAUGCGUAGAAGAUC
rnacentral:rRNA from 1 species